rnacentral:misc_RNA from 1 species
UUUCCGUAGGUGAACCUGCGGAAGGAUCAUUAUUGUAUAACCGAGGUGCGAGGGCUGUCGCUGACCCGAAAGGUCGUGCACGCCCGAGUGCCCGCACACACAUCCAUCUCACCCCUAUGUGCACCACCGCGUGGGUCCCCCUUUGGCUUGUUCGGAGGGGGGCUUACGUUUUCACACAAACUUUGUAUGCAGUGUAGAAUGUAUUUUUUGUUUUUGCGAUCACGCAAUCAAUACAACUCUCAACAACGGAUCUCUUGGCUCUC